UGGGGAAUUUUGGACAAUGGGCGAAAGCCUGAUCCAGCAAUGCCGCGUGUGUGAAGAAGGCCUUCGGGUUGUAAAGCACUUUUGUCCGGAAAGAAAUCCUUGGCUCUAAUACAGUCGGGGGAUGACGGUACCGGAAGAAUAAGCACCGGCUAACUACGUGCCAGCAGCCGCGGUAAUACGUAGGGUGCAAGCGUUAAUUGGAAUUACUGGGCGUAAAGCGUGCGCAGGCGGUUUGCUAAGACCGAUGUGAAAUCCCCGGGCUCAACCUGGGAACUGCAUUGGCGACUGGCAGGCUAGAGUAUGGCAGAGGGGGGUAGAAUUCCACGUGUAGCAGUGAAAUGCGUAGAGAUGUGGAGGAAUACCGAUGGCGAAGGCAGCCCCCUGGGCCAAUACUGACGCUCAUGCACGAAAGCGUGGGGAGCAAACAGGAUUAGAUACCCUGGUAGUCCACGCCCUAAACGAUGUCAACUAGUUGUUGGGGAUUCAUUUCCUUAGUAACGUAGCUAACGCGUGAAGUUGACCGCCUGGGGAGUACGGUCGCAAGAUUAAAACUCAAAGGAAUUGACGGGGUCAUAGCUGUUUCCU
rnacentral:rRNA from 1 species